UACGUAGGGGGCAAGCGUUGUCCGGAAUCAUUGGGCGUAAAGAGCGUGUAGGCGGCUCGGUAAGUCCGCUCUGAAAGCCCGGGGCUCAACCCCGGGAGGCGGGCGGAUACUGUCGGGCUAGAGUCCGGAAGAGGCGAGUGGAAUUCCUGGUGUAGCGGUGAAAUGCGCAGAUAUCAGGAGGAACACCAAUGGCGAAGGCAGCUCGCUGGGGACGGUACUGACGCUGAGACGCGAAAAGCGUGGGGGAACAAACAGG
rnacentral:rRNA from 1 species